GACGAACGCUGGCGGCGUGCUUAACACAUGCAAGUCGUGCGGUAAGGCCCUUCCGGGGGUACACGAGCGGCGAACGGGUGAGUAACACGUGAGCAACCUGCCCUUCCCUUUGGGAUAACUGCCGGAAACGGUGGCUAAUACCGGACAGGAAUUACCUACGCAUGCGGGGUGGUGGAAAGCCUUCGGGUGGUGGGGGAUGGGCUCGCGGUCUAUCAGCUUGUUGGUGGGGUGUUGGCCUACCAAGGCUUCGACGGGUAGCCGGCCUGAGAGGGUGACCGGCCACACUGGGACUGAGACACGGCCCAGACUCCUACGGGAGGCAGCAGUGGGGAAUAUUGGACAAUGGGCGAAAGCCUGAUCCAGCAACGCCGCGUGAGGGAUGACGGCCUUCGGGUUGUAAACCUCUUUCGCCUGCGACGAAGCGAGAGUGACGGUAACAGGUAAAGAAGCACCGGCCAACUACGUG
rnacentral:rRNA from 1 species